AAGUCGAACGGUAGAGGGGGCAACCCCUUGAGAGUGGCGAACGGGUGAGUAAUAUAUCGGAACGUGCCCAGUCGUGGGGGAUAACGUAGCGAAAGUUACGCUAAUACCGCAUACGAUCUAAGGAUGAAAGCGGGGGAUCGCAAGACCUCGCGCGACUGGAGCGGCCGAUAUCAGAUUAGGUAGUUGGUAGGGUAAAGGCCUACCAAGCCAACGAUCUGUAGCUGGUCUGAGAGGACGACCAGCCACACUGGAACUGAGACACGGUCCAGACUCCUACGGGAGGCAGCAGUGGGGAAUUUUGGACAAUGGGCGAAAGCCUGAUCCAGCCAUUCCGCGUGCAGGAUGAAGGCCCUCGGGUUGUAAACUGCUUUUGUACAGAACGAAAAGGUUUCUAUUAAUACUAGGAGCUCAUGACGGUACUGUAAGAAUAAGCACCGGCUAACUACGUGCCAGCAGCCGCGGUAAUACGUAGGGUGCAAGCGUUAAUCGGAAUUACUGGGCGUAAAGCGUGCGCAGGCGGUUAUAUAAGUCAGAUGUGAAAUCCCCGGGCUCAACCUGGGAACUGCAUUUGAGACUGUAUAGCUAGAGUACGGUAGAGGGGGAUGGAAUUCCGCGUGUAGCAGUGAAAUGCGUAGAUAUGCGGAGGAACACCGAUGGCGAAGGCA
rnacentral:rRNA from 1 species